rnacentral:rRNA from 1 species
UACGUAGGGGGCAAGCGUUGUCCGGAUUAUUGGGCGUAAAGAGCGUGUAGGCGGCCAGGUAGGUCUGCUGUGAAAACUCGAGGCUCAACCUCGAGAUGUCGGCGGAAACCAUCUGGCUAGAGUCCGGAAGAGGAGAAUGGAAUUCCCGGUGUAGCGGUGAAAUGCGCAGAUAUCGGGAAGAACACCCGUGGCGAAGGCGGUUCUCUGGGACGAUACUGACGCUGAGACGCGAAAGCGUGGGGAGCAAACAGG